rnacentral:lncRNA from 1 species
GGAUCACAAACAAGUUACCGGUCCAAACGAAAGGCAAUCUUAUGAGAAGUAAAAUCGAAAGAAAACACCUUUACAGUGCUUGGGUUUCCGGCAAAGAGGUCAAAACACAUUUUUUUUAGACCAAAAAAAAAUCGAAAGAAAAGAAAGCACAUGAAGUUUAGAGUGCACAUAUGUACAUACAUGUAUAUAAACAAACCCAAUAUAUAUCAAUCCAUCUUUCUUGAUGAUUUUAGUUUUCUAUUGUGAGAUUGCAGUGAUGAUCAGUAGGACUUUUUUUUUUUUUGGUAAAAUAGUAGGACUGUUUUCCUUGGUUAUUUUAAUUACAUCUCUUUCUCGUUAUAUCACAUCUUAUUUGAUACGCUUGCGUUUAGACGAACUUUUUUUUUUUUGAUAAGUCGUUUAGACGAACUUUAUGUUUUGUUUGAGAUGUUUAACAAUGUGAAGCAUCUCCAAAAUAACAUUGGAGACGUGGAAUGAACUUUUGUAUGUAUAUCAAAAUUCUUUGCAUUGUACAAACAAAAACUUGUACAUACGUUGAUACUGCUAGAAUCACACCAUGAAUGGACUGAGACUUAUUUGACUUAAUACCCCAUUAGAGCCAUUUUACAACAAAACACCGAUCAAGUUGAUGUUCCAGUCAGACGGUAGUACGGUAUAGAAUAUCAGGCUCGCUAAGUUUCAUUAAUUCUUUUUGAGGACUGUUUGGACACGAAGACCUCUUUAUCCACCGUCUGGAUUGGCU